rnacentral:rRNA from 1 species
GAUGAACGCUGGCGGCGUGCCUAAUACAUGCAAGUCGAGCGAACAGAUAAGGAGCUUGCUCCUUUGACGUUAGCGGCGGACGGGUGAGUAACACGUGGAUAACCUACCUAUAAGACUGGGAUAACUUCGGGAAACCGGAGCUAAUACCGGAUAACAUAUUGAACCGCAUGGUUCAAUAGUGGAAGGCGGCUUUGCUGUCACUUAUAGAUGGAUCCGCGCCGUAUUAGCUAGUUGGUAAGGUAACGGCUUACCAAGGCAACGAUACGUAGCCGACCUGAGAGGGUGAUCGGCCACACUGGAACUGAGACACGGUCCAGACUCCUACGGGAGGCAGCAGUAGGGAAUCUUCCGCAAUGGGCGAAAGCCUGACGGAGCAACGCCGCGUGAGUGAUGAAGGUCUUCGGAUCGUAAAACUCUGUUAUCAGGGAAGAACAAAUGUGUAAGUAACUGUGCACAUCUUGACGGUACCUGAUCAGAAAGCCACGGCUAACUACGUG